CAAAAGCUUGCUUUUGAAGAUGACGAGCGGCGGACGGGUGAGUAAUGCCUGGGAAUAUGCCUUGAUGUGGGGGAUAACCAUUGGAAACGAUGGCUAAUACCGCAUAAUGCCUACGGGCCAAAGAGGGGGAUCUUCGGACCUCUCGCGUCAAGAUUAGCCCAGGUGGGAUUAGCUAGUUGGUGAGGUAAUGGCUCACCAAGGCGACGAUCCCUAGCUGGUCUGAGAGGAUGAUCAGCCACACUGGAACUGAGACACGGUCCAGACUCCUACGGGAGGCAGCAGUGGGGAAUAUUGCACAAUGGGCGCAAGCCUGAUGCAGCCAUGCCGCGUGUGUGAAGAAGGCCUUCGGGUUGUAAAGCACUUUCAGUCGUGAGGAAGGUAGUUGCGUUAAUAGCGUAAUUAUUUGACGUUAGCGACAGAAGAAGCACCGGCUAACUCCGUGCCAGCAGCCGCGGUAAUACGGAGGGUGCGAGCGUUAAUCGGAAUUACUGGGCGUAAAGCGCAUGCAGGUGGUUUGUUAAGUCAGAUGUGAAAGCCCGGGGCUCAACCUCGGAAUUGCAUUUGAAACUGGCAGACUAGAGUACUGUAGAGGGGGGUAGAAUUUCAGGUGUAGCGGUGAAAUGCGUAGAGAUCUGAAGGAAUACCGGUGGCGAAGGCGGCCCCCUGGACAGAUACUGACACUCAGAUGCGAAAGCGUGGGGAGCAAACAGGAUUAGAUACCCUGGUAGUCCACGCCGUAAACGAUGUCUACUUGGAGGUUGUGGCCUUGAGCCGUGGCUUUCGGAGCUAACGCGUUAAGUAGACCGCCUGGGGAGUACGGUCGCAAGAUUAAAACUCAAAUGAAUUGACGGGGGCCCGCACAAGCGGUGGAGCAUGUGGUUUAAUUCGAUGCAACGCGAAGAACCUUACCUACUCUUGACAUCCAGAGAAGCCAGCGGAGACGCAGGUGUGCCUUCGGGAACUCUGAGACAGGUGCUGCAUGGCUGUCGUCAGCUCGUGUUGUGAAAUGUUGGGUUAAGUCCCGCAACGAGCGCAACCCUUAUCCUUGUUUGCCAGCGAGUAAUGUCGGGAACUCCAGGGAGACUGCCGGUGAUAAACCGGAGGAAGGUGGGGACGACGUCAAGUCAUCAUGGCCCUUACGAGUAGGGCUACACACGUGCUACAAUGGCGCAUACAGAGGGCUGCCAACCAGCGAUGGUGAGCGAAUCCCAAAAAGUGCGUCGUAGUCCGGAUUGGAGUCUGCAACUCGACUCCAUGAAGUCGGAAUCGCUAGUAAUCGUGGAUCAGAAUGCCACGGUGAAUACGUUCCCGGGCCUUGUACACACCGCCCGUCACACCAUGGGAGUGGGCUGCAAAAGAAGUGGGUAGUUUAACCUUUCGAGGA
rnacentral:rRNA from 1 species